AAAGUGGAGCAAUCCAUGAGUAAAGUGGCGACCGGGUGAGUAACACGUGACUAACCUACCUCCGAGUGGGGAAUAACUCCGGGAAACCGGGGCUAAUACCGCAUAACAUCGCAAGAUCAAAGCAGCAAUGCGCUUGGAGAGGGGGUCGCGGCUGAUUAGCUAGUUGGCGGGGUAACGGCCCACCAAGGCGAAGAUCGGUAUCCGGCCUGAGAGGGCGCACGGACACACUGGAACUGAAACACGGUCCAGACUCCUACGGGAGGCAGCAGUGGGGAAUUUUGCGCAAUGGGGGAAACCCUGACGCAGCAACGCCGCGUGGAGGAUGAAGCCCCUUGGGGCGUAAACUCCUUUCGACCAAGACGAUAAUGACGGUACUGGUGGAAGAAGCACCGGCUAACUCUGUGCCAGCAGCCGCGGUAAUACAGAGGGUGCGAGCGUUGUUCGGAAUUAUUGGGCGUAAAGGGCGCGUAGGCGGUGCCACAAGUCACUUGUGAAAUCCCCGGGCUUAACUCGGGGCCUGCAGGCGAAACUGUGGUGCUGGAGUAUGGGAGAGGUGCGUGGAAUUCCCGGUGUAGCGGUGAAAUGCGUAGAUAUCGGGAGGAACACCUGUGGCGAAAGCGGCGCACUGGACCAUAACUGACGCUGAGGCGCGAAAGCUAGGGGAGCAAACAGGAUUAGAUACCCUGGUAGUCCUAGCCCUAAACGAUGAUUGCUUGGUGUAGCAGGUACCCAAUCCUGCUGUGCCGCAGCUAACGCGAUAAGCAAUCCGCCUGGGGAGUACGGUCGCAAGGCUGAAACUCAAGGAAUUGAC
rnacentral:rRNA from 1 species